UACGUAGGGUGCGAGCGUUAAUCGGAAUUACUGGGCGUAAAGCGUGCGCAGGCGGUUUGGUAAGACAGAUGUGAAAUCCCCGGGCUCAACCUGGGAAUUGCAUUUGUGACUGCACGGCUAGAGUGUGUCAGAGGGGGGUAGAAUUCCACGUGUAGCAGUGAAAUGCGUAGAGAUGUGGAGGAAUACCGAUGGCGAAGGCAGCCCCCUGGGAUAACACUGACGCUCAUGCACGAAAGCGUGGGGAGCAAACAGG
rnacentral:rRNA from 1 species